rnacentral:lncRNA from 1 species
GCUUCGGCUUCUGCUCCCUGGGCUCUUGGUCCUGCCCUGAGUCAUCCUUCCUUUUUUUAUAUAGUAGUUAAUGUUCAGAGGUGAGCAUUUUUAUCAACUUGCUUCCUGACAGCAGAAUUUGGUGAUGGAGGUGAGGGGACAUAGCAGCCUGUUUUUAUUUUGUACUCACUGUAUAUCUUUCUGUUCAAGCUGGUAGGCUCUCUGUUGUACGAAUGAUAUGUGUCUUGGAGAUCAGAAACAGGUCCUUUUUCCCUGGUGUUGAAGACUAAACCCUUCCCCCCCCCCAAAAAAAAAAAAAAUGCCAAGGCAAGUGUAGAAAGCAAGUUUUAUUUAAGAAUGUGAUAGAGACAAAUUUCUAAGAGAAGUGGCCCUAGAGUGAGGUUUCUGUAGGAGGGGGUGCAUCUUGUUCUCUUAUGGGUCUCAAAACAUCUUCUUUCUUCUCCAUAUAUGUGCCUCGGAGCAGGGAAUUUGGAGCUUCUGGUUAACAAUCCUGAGUGCCCAGGAGCAUGAUAGCAGAGGUUAACAACCCAUUGUCCUCUGUUUUUUAAUCAGUCUCAUCCUCUCUGGACCCCCAUCAUUCAUUACCUGUACUGACUGCCUGACCUUUGUCCCCUAACUCAGUUUGCUGAUCAUGUGACAUAUUCUGUCUACUCAGGCCAAGUGAAGCUUCAGGAAGAUUGCUUUUUGGAUAAGAAAGCAUGUAUGGGGGUCAGCAACAUGGUCCCAUUUUAUUGAAUUAUACUUUUAAGCUGGUUUUGUCACCAUUCUCAUCUAUCUGUCCCCUUACACUAGUAUUCUCAAGAACUUCUGAUAUAUUUAAUUGGAGCCUCAUUCUAUGAGAC